rnacentral:rRNA from 1 species
AAGUAAGUAAGGGCGUAUGGCGGAUGCCUAGGCUCUCAGAGGCGAAGAAGGACGUGAUAAGCUGCGAAAAGCUACGGGGAUUGGCACAUACAAAUUGAUCCGUAGAUAUCCGAAUGGGGCAACCCAGCAUGUUGAAGACAUGUUAUCCGUAAGGAGGCGAACCCGGAGAACUGAAACAUCUAAGUACCCGGAGGAGAAGAAAACAAAAGUGAUUCCGAUAGUAGCGGCGAGCGAAAUUGGAUUAGCCCAAACCAGUAUUGUUACGGCAAUGCUGGGGUUGUAGGACUGCGAUAUUUGAACUAUAAUGAAUUAGAAUGCUUUGGAAAUAGCAACCAUAGAGGGUGAUAGUCCCGUAUAAGUAAAGAGUAGUAAGAUAGCAGUAUCCUGAGUAGUGCGGGACACGAGUAAUCCUGUGUGAAUCUGUGGGGACCAUCCCAUAAGGCUAAAUACUCCUGAGAGACCGAUAGUGAACUAGUACCGUGAGGGAAAGGCGAAAAGAACCCCGG